UACGUAGGGACCAAGCGUUGUUCGGAAUUACUGGGCGUAAAGCGCGUGUAGGCGGCUAAGUAAGUCGGGCGUGAAAUCCCACGGUUCAACCGUGGAAGUGCACUCGAAACUGCAUAGCUAGAGUCCUGGAGAGGAAGGUGGAAUGCUUGGUGUAGAGGUGAAAUUCGUAGAUAUCAAGCGGAACACCGGUGGCGAAGGCGGCCUUCUGGACAGUGACUGACGCUGAGACGCGAAAGCGUGGGGAGCAAACAGG
rnacentral:rRNA from 1 species